rnacentral:rRNA from 1 species
UACGUAGGGUGCGAGCGUUAAUCGGAAUUACUGGGCGUAAAGCGUGCGCAGGCGGUUCGUGAUGUCUGAUGUGAAAGCCCCGGGCUCAACCUGGGAACUGCAUUGGAAACUAGCGGGCUGGAGUGUGGCAGAGGGGGGUGGAAUUCCACGUGUAGCAGUGAAAUGCGUAGAGAUGUGGAGGAACACCGAUGGCGAAGGCAGCCCCCUGGGCUAACACUGACGCUCAUGCACGAAAGCGUGGGGAGCAAACAGG